rnacentral:rRNA from 1 species
AGGACGAACGCUGGCGGCGCGCUUAACACAUGCAAGUCGGACGGUCGGGUUUCGGCCCGGCCGUGGCGCACGGGUGAGUAACGCGUGGGAAUCCACCCCGAGGUCUGGGACAACGGCGGGAAACUGCCGCUAACACCGGAUGGUGCCCCACUUCCAGCGAUGGGAGGGGGCUAAAGGCUACGCCUUGGGACGAGCCCGCGUCGGAUUAGCUAGUUGGUGGGGUAACGGCUCACCAAGGCUGCGAUCCGUAGCCGGUCUGAGAGGAUGAUCGGCCACACUGGGACUGAGACACGGCCCAGACUCCUACGGGAGGCAGCAGUGGGGAAUCUUGGACAAUGGGCGCAAGCCUGAUCCAGCGACGCCGCGUGGGUGACGAAGGCCUUCGGGUUGUAAAGCCCUUUUGUCGGGACGAUGAUGACGGUACCCGGCGAAUAAGCACCGGCUAACUCCGUGCCAGCAGCCGC